UGGAUUAUUUAAUUACAGUAAUUGCGUGGUAUUUUCUAAACACUCAUUCGGACAAUUACGCUUGAAUAGGAGCCCAAUUAAUUGAUUUUAUGGGCUUUAGUUGCGUCACUUAAGCUCAUUUGCCGUUAGAUAUUUAGGCUGACCAUUACGUUAUGAUGAUAUCCGCGCGAAGGAUCAGAAAAUGUGAGCGGAAAUACAUUGUGAUAAGAGAUUGGUGAAAUAAUUCGUUUAAUCCGGACAUCCAGCCAGGUUUAAUAAGGGUUAAUUGACUUUAAUGUGCGUCUUUGCGUCGUUUUAUGUGUUUAAUAAUAACGAUAAUAAACACAUGGUAUGCGCUUUAAUUGAUUUAAUCCCGCCGUUUAUGGAUGAAGUGACCGAGGCAACACACUGCCUCACGCAAAAGUGCGUGACCAGGGUUAACAACAGGA